GCGGAUGGAGCUGAAGCCAGUCGAAGAUACCAGCUGGCUGCAACUGUUUAAUAAAAACACAGCACUGUGCAAACACGAAAGUGGACGUAUACGGUGUGACGCCUGCCCGGUGCUGGAAGGUUAAUUGAUGGGGUCAGCCGCAAGGCGAAGCUCUUGAUCGAAGCCCCAGUAAACGGCGGCCGUAACUAUAACGGUCCUAAGGUAGCGAAAUUCCUUGUCGGGUAAGUUCCGACCUGCACGAAUGGCGUAAUGAUGGCCAGGCUGUCUCCACCCGAGACUCAGUGAAAUUGAACUCGCUGUGAAGAUGCAGUGUACCCGCGGCAAGACGGAAAGACCCCGUGAACCUUUACUAUAGCUUGACACUGAACAUUGAGCCUUGAUGUGUAGGAUAGGUGGGAGGCUUUGAAGCGUGGACGCCAGUCUGCGUGGAGCCAUCCUUGAAAUACCACCCUUUAAUGUUUGAUGUUCUAACUCUGCCCCGUGAUCCGGGGUGAGGACAGUGUCUGGUGGGUAGUUUGACUGGGGCGGUCUCCUCCCAAAGAGUAACGGAGGAGCACGAAGGUUAGCUAAUCACGGUCGGACAUCGUGAGGUUAGUGCAAAGGCAUAAGCUAGCUUGACUGCGAGAGUGACGGCUCGAGCAGGUACGAAAGUAGGUCUUAGUGAUCCGGUGGUUCUGAAUGGAAGGGCCAUCGCUCAACGGAUAAAAGGUACUCCGGGGAUAACAGGCUGAUACCGCCCAAGAGUUCAUAUCGACGGCGGUGUUUGGCACCUCGAUGUCGGCUCAUCACAUCCUGGGGCUGAAGUAGGUCCCAAGGGUAUGGCUGUUCGCCAUUUAAAGUGGUACGCGAGCUGGGUUUAGAACGUCGUGAGACAGUUCGGUCCCUAUCUGCCGUGGGCGUUGGAAGAUUGAGAGGGGUUGCUCCUAGUACGAGAGGACCGGAGUGAACGCACCACUGGUGUUCGGGUUGUCAUGCCAAUGGCAUUGCCCGGUAGCUAAGUGCGGAAAAGAUAAGCGCUGAAAGCAUCUAAGCGCGAAACUUGCCUCAAGAUGAGUCUUCCCUGGGCCUUUAAGGCCCCUGAAGGAACGUUUAAGACUAAGACGUUGAUAGGCUGGGUGUGUAAGUGCAGCGAUGCAUUGAGCUAACCAGUACUAAUGAUCCGUGAGGCUUAACCUUACAACACCGAAGGUGUUUUAG
rnacentral:rRNA from 1 species